AGCGAACGCUGGCGGCAGGCUUAACACAUGCAAGUCGAACGCCCGUAGCAAUACGGGAGUGGCAGACGGGUGAGUAACGCGUGGGAACAUGCCCUUUGGUUCGGAAUAACUCAGGGAAACUUGAGCUAAUACCGGAUAAGCCCGAGAGGGGAAAGAUUUAUCGCCGAAGGAUUGGCCCGCGUCCGAUUAGCUAGUUGGUGAGGUAAUGGCUCACCAAGGCGACGAUCGGUAGCUGGUCUGAGAGGAUGAUCAGCCACACUGGGACUGAGACACGGCCCAGACUCCUACGGGAGGCAGCAGUGGGGAAUAUUGGACAAUGGGGGCAACCCUGAUCCAGCCAUGCCGCGUGAGUGAUGAAGGCCCUAGGGUUGUAAAGCUCUUUCGGCGGGGACGAUAAUGACGGUACCCGCAGAAGAAGCCCCGGCUAACUUCGUGCCAGCCGCCGCAGUAAAAC
rnacentral:rRNA from 1 species